AGCGAACGCUGGCGGCGGGCCUAAUACAUGCAAGUCGAGCGGUCCCUUCGGGGGCAGCGGCGGACGGGUGAGUAACGCGUGGGAACGUGCCCUUUGGUACGGAACAACUGAGGGAAACUUCAGCUAAUACCGUAUGUGCCCUUCGGGGGAAAGAUUUAUCGCCAUUGGAGCGGCCCGCGUUGGAUUAGGUAGUUGGUGAGGUAAAGGCUCACCAAGCCUACGAUCCAUAGCUGGUCUGAGAGGAUGAUCAGCCACACUGGGACUGAGACACGGCCCAGACUCCUACGGGAGGCAGCAGUAGGGAAUCUUGCGCAAUGGGCGAAAGCCUGACGCAGCCAUGCCGUGUGAAUGAUGAAGGUCUUAGGAUUGUAAAAUUCUUUCACCGGGGACGAUAAUGACGGUACCCGGAGAAGAAGCCCCGGCUAACUUCGUG
rnacentral:rRNA from 1 species